rnacentral:rRNA from 1 species
AGUGGCAUCACCGAAUUUUGAAAGUAUUUCGGUGGAGGAUGACUUCGCGGCCUAUCAGCUUGUUGGUGAGGUAAAGGCUCACCAAGGCGACGACGGGUAUCCGGCCUGAGUGGGCGACCGGACACUCUGGGACUAAGACACGGCCCAGACUCCUACGGGAGGCAGCAGUGGGGAAUAUUGGGCAAUGGACGAAAGUCUGACCCAGCGACGCCGCGUGAGGGAUGAAGGCCUUCGGGUUGUAAACCUCUUUCAGUAGGGAAGAAGCGAAAGUGACGGUACCUAAAGAAGAAGCACCGGCUAACUAUGUGCCAGCAGCCGCGGUAAUACAUAGGGUGCAAGCGUUGUCCGGAAUUAUUGGGCGUAAAGAGCUCGUAGGUGGUUUGUUGCGUCGGGUGUGAAAUUCAGGGGCUCAACCCCUGACCUGCACUCGAUACGGGCAGACUAGAGUUUGGUAGGGGAGACUGGAAUUCCUGGUGUAGCGGUGGAAUGCGCAGAUAUCAGGAGGAACACCAAUGGCGAAGGCAGGUCUCUGGGCCAAUACUGACACUGAGGAGCGAAAGCGCGGGGAGCGAACAGGAUUAGAUACCCUGGUAGUCCGCGCCGUAAACGAUGGGCGCUAGUUGUGGGGACCUUCCACGGUUUCUGCGACGCAGCUAACGCAUUAAGCGCCCCGCCUGGGGAGUACGAUCGCAAGAUUAAAACUCAAAGGAAUUGACGGGGACCCGCACAAGCAGCGGAGCAUGCGGCUUAAU